AGGGAGGGAACGCGGGCGGGUGGGGGAGCAGAGUGAGCGGGUGGYGGCGGCAGCGGCAGCGCGCCACCGGGUGUAGCGACAGCGGCAGAGCCGGAGCGGAGAUGCGACAAUAAUGCAUUGAUAAGGUACUUUGAAAGAAGAAGGGGAACAUGCAAGAAUUCAUUCAUCUCUAGAAGACUGGUGUGGGAAGGUUCGUGGUAUGAAGUCUUCAUGGCUUUGUCAUCUACCUUGUCCCACUAGAAGAUCUACUUUCUCUUUAUAAAAUGGGAAUA
rnacentral:lncRNA from 1 species